AAAAAAAGAACAAGGAGAGAUGUGGGCAGACAGCGAUGCUAUAUAGAAAGCAGAGGUGACGCGGUUGGGUAAUGGAAAUAGGGCAAACUGGGGAGCUGGGAAAGGAGGAGAACUAAAUUGCUCGAAAUGAGUCUCUCCUGUGUUAUGUCCUGAGCUGCCAUUUCCAUCUGUGUGGAGCGCUGAAUAUAAGCAAAUGGAUUUACACCAAACAGAGAUAGGAGUAAGGGCCUGGCAAGGAAGAGUAAAGCACGGAGCAAUUCUCUUUUCCUUGGAGCCUCGCUUCUGGAAACAUUCCCAGUCCUUGGCGUAUUCAUCAGGAUUGUUACAAUUCUGCUGCCACAAAGAGGGAAGUAUCUUGUUCUCCUGUUAUUUAUUAGCAUAUGCUGCAGUGUGAGGGACCGUGGUGGGGAGGGGAGCCCUGCUGUGAGGGGCACUGGGUAAACACAGCCGAAAUGACAGCAGCAGUCCUCAUCACAGAGCGUUAGCAAUUCUAACAGCCACGUCAGGCAGAGAAUUUGUGAGACGGAUGUAACACAAGCAAAGGAAGAAUGUGGCAGUUUGCAAACAGCGAGUUGCGUGGUUUUUUUGUAGGUGUGUUCAUUCUUGAAGGACCUCGAAAGAAAUGCAAAUGAAAUGUAUGGUGGACAGGUCAAUGUGCAAGCAAGGCCUGUUGGGGCUUCACGUUGGAGAUGUAGAAACUUCUUUGUCUCAUAGAAAGAGAUAGCAAGAGGGCUUUUUGAAAAUGUGAGAAAAGCAUUGGAGGCCUGUUUUUGCCUGAAAGCACAGUGGGAUAGAUCAUGGAGCCUGAGGAGUAGGGAGUCGUGUGCUAUUCUAUUAAUAAAAGCAGAAGGAAGUAGCAGAACAGAAGCAGUGGAGCAAAUCCAAAAGCCAAUGCCCCACCAAACGGGCAAAAAACCUCACCAAACAAAAGCUGAUGAAUUUCCAAGGUAGAAUUUGUUGGCAGACAGACGGGGCUGAUGUUUCCUACAGCAACCAGUUUAAUCCCUCCACUCUGCCAAGGCAAUGCCAAACAAAAGAGAUCUGCUCAACGUUUUCUAUUAGCCUGAAAUUUUGCUGUAGAGAAAAUGAUAACACAGAAGGAAUUUCCUUGGGAAAGAAAAGAGAAAAGGGCUCUGCGGAAUUAUUUUAGUUCAGACAACUGCAAUGCUAAAAAUGAAUUCUGGGGCAGGACAAUAAACGCAUACACGAAUAUUAAUUCUGCUUCCAAUCAUCCAAGGAGUUCAGUCACUGAAGCCCAUUCAUAGUCUGUGUGGUUCCACAGGCUCAGAGGGAUGCUCCAAAAAACUUUGAAAAUCCCAAUCUAAACACGUCUGUGUCCAACUUUCUAAAGACCCUUCUGUGUGGCUGCAAAGAAUAAGUAAUUUCUAUCUGUACCACGUUAUGAAGUCCUCAGGAAGUAGGCACCAGGGCGGUAUAAAAUGGUCAUUUUAGCAGUAUCUUCUCCCACAAUUGCUUGUUCUCCAUCUCCACGGAGGGCGGCUGGCAGCACAGUGCUGCAGUGAUUUAAGCCCACCAGGCUGCGGUGUUGGCUCUGUUGUGAAGCGCCUGAGCCCUGUGCAGGACUUGGCCAUAAACUGCACAGCCCAAGGAAGAUGUUGCUUGUUUUCCAGGACAGGAUGAAAUCACCCCGUGCAUGUCCUCUGUCUAUUGCCUCUCCGGGCAGGGAAAACAUAAAUGCCUUUCCCGUCAUUUUAUUUAUUGCCUUUCUGCGUUUCCUGGGAAAAGCCCAUUUUUAUUCUUUAUCAUGUGUGUGUGUGUCUGUGUGGGGUAAGCGUGUGUGUGUGUGUGUGUGUGUGUGUUUGGGAGGUUAAAAAAAAUUUCUUGCUGUCAGCAAGUGAUGUUACAAACCUGCUCUGACAAGGCUGGUUGUAUAUUUACAGUUGGUGAGAGCGAAGGCUUCAUCAAUCUUCACGCUUUGAAAGGGACAGGCCCGCUCCCAUGAGCACCUGCUCCGGGAGAACAGCUGAACUGUGACUUUCCAGGGAGCUAGCUGUAAAUUUUAGCCAUUCCCCCCACAGCCCACGCAUGCUUGAGCUCUUUAACCUUCCCAGGCUGGCAGGAGUCCCAGCAAUCAGUUUAGUGCAAAGACUGGGGUUCUUUUUAAUUAACCUUUUGUUUCCCACUGCAGGUGUUUCGAAGUUUCUUAACGUUAAAAAGGAAGAGGAAAAAAACUGUUUGCAGAGGUGCAUCCACUCUCUUCCGCUCUUGCUAUGCUCGGUGAUCAAAUGGGACCGGUCUUUCUCAUCUUUCUGCUCCUCAUUUGCCUCCUGCAUUUCUGCCACCCUUUGAAUUCUCCCAUCUUAAGUGGUGUGUUGCCUGCCUGGGAGCUCCUGCAGCCCUGCCUGUGUGAACAAGGAUGUGAUAAUACUGGGUCCUGAAGCUGCAAAUGCAGAACAAACCAAGGAGUAAAAGAACUGACAAGACAAGCAGUGGUGGGAAAUGGAGGGAAGGCUGUGAAAAAGGUUAUAAUAAAUAAUAAGAAAUGUUGCAUGGGCCAAAGGAAUAAUAGAUCAGCGAUGGAAAGACUCUAAAAGCUGCUGAGGGUUAUUUAUUGAUGGACAUUGUUUAAAAAAAAAAAAUCAGUGACAGUUUUCCUUCGUGUUCACAAAGGCAGAUGGCAGGGCAGGUGCCAGAAUGAAAGAUAAAUUUCCUUUUGCAUAAAGAAGAAAUAUUGAAGGAAACUGAGCAGAGGUGAUGGAGAAAUUAGAGCGUUGAAAGACCCUGAAAGCAUGCGGUCCAUGUCAGCCCUCUCUCAGGAUUUUCACCUGAGUCAGCAGAAAGCAGGAAAAACUGUUGCGGGAAAUGAGAACCUCUUUGAAGACCAGUAAUGGAGAGGUUCCUGCAAGUGUCAUGUCCAGAGGUCUGAGGAAGGCUUUCCAGGAAUUAAAAUUGGUGGUGCAGAAGGUACCUCGUGUGGCUGAGUGGCCAAUGUGCAUCAUAAUCUAGGACUGCAGUAGAGAAAUAGGAGAAGUUAUGAAUGUAAGUAAGGGAAACCAUCAAAGAUUCAGAAAUUGGAAGCUGGACCGGUAACAGGAAAACUGAUGGAGGGUUUGUGAGGAGUUUGUGCAAAUCAUGAGCCAGGGAGAGCCAAGAGAUACAACUUGUGCAGUGGCAGCGAAGGUUGGGUGUAACAGAGUCAAGAUAAUGGAGGGGAAGUGAUGAGUGUGGGACAUGGAAAUGCCUGAUGGAGCUCUGAGCUGGUGGUACACACAGCUGCUGUGAGGAUGCAUUGGUUUCUGUUGCCCUGACUGUGAGUGGGGAGGUUGGGGAGUCUAUGGGGGGGUCUGAGGGCACUAGGGGAGGCGUUACAGAGUGAAUGUAACUGAGGUACAAAAGAGGCAUGAGGAAGGGAACAAACCCUGCAGGAUCCGAGGGCACCUGGCCUGGCUGGAGAACCUGCAGGGUGGGUCCAACCCAAGGCCAACAGCUGUGCUUCUGCAACAUGUGCUAGGGAGCUCUAAUUAACAGCUCUCCAAUCAUCCCUUUGCCAACCUUGCUUAUCUGAAAGUGGAGUUUGUUUUUUGGGGGAGAAAACAGCAUCACUGUGGGUCCUUCCCAAUGGCCAUUCAUCCGAUAUCCAAACAGCAUUAAAUCACUCAUCGUGUUGCUCACGGUCAGCAGGUAACGGGGGCUGGCAGGAAGGAUCUGCGGGCUCUGCUUACUGCGUGUCCUCGUGUCUUUGUUUCAGGAAAGCCGCCUGCCCUACAGCAGAGGAGCGCGGCAGCCUGGAUCCACGUUUGCACACACAAACCCCACCGCGUCGGAUGAAACCCCUCACAAAGUCCCAUCAGGUGAUGGCCACGACGGGGUUACGUGGGGGCCUUCAUCAGAGCUCAGCUGGGGGUCUGCAGUGUAAAGAGGGGACGAGGAGGGAGGUUCUCCAGCACGGCAGAGCUCCCGCUGCCCGAGGGCUGCCCGGCCCGCCUCAGACCUCAAACAGAAGGAAGCGAGGAAAGGACGACGGAACGCGUCCCCUCGGAAGUAGGGCAUGCCCGCCGCAGGGCUGCUCCCCGACGGCCGCAGCAGCAAAGCGCUCGGGUUCCGCCUCGCGCAUCGCUCGAGCCGCGCGCUGCGCUCCGCG